CAGCAGCCGCGGGAAUACAGAGGGUGCGAGCGUUAAUCGGAUUUACUGGGCGUAAAGCGUGCGUAGGCGGCUUCUUAAGUCGGAUGUGAAAUCCCUGAGCUUAACUUAGGAAUUGCAUUCGAUACUGGGAAGCUAGAGUAUGGGAGAGGAUGGUAGAAUUCCAGGUGUAGCGGUGAAAUGCGUAGAGAUCUGGAGGAAUACCGAUGGCGAAGGCAGCCAUCUGGCCUAAUACUGACGCUGAGGUACGAAAGCAUGGGGAGCAAACAGGAUUAGAUACCGCGUAGUCCUGUCUCUUAUACAA
rnacentral:rRNA from 1 species